AAUCAACGCUGGCGGCGUGCCUAACACAUGCAAGUCGAACGAGAAAGGGUCCGCAAGGACCUGAGUAAAGUGGCGACCGGGUGAGUAACACGUGACUAACCUACCCUUGAGUGGGGGAUAACCUCGGGAACCGGGGCUAAUACCGCAUAACCUUUCCGGGAAGCAAUGCCUGGAAAGACAAAGGAAGCAAUUCGCUGGAGGAGGGAGUCGCGGCCGAUUAGCUAGUUGGUGAGGUAAUGGCCCACCAAGGCAUGAUCGGUAGCCGGCCUGAGAGGGCGCACGGCCACACUGGAACUGAAACACGGUCCAGACUCCUACGGGAGGCAGCAGUGGGGAAUAUUGGACAAUGGGCGCAAGCCUGAUCCAGCAAUGCCGCGUGUGUGAAGAAGG
rnacentral:rRNA from 1 species